rnacentral:lncRNA from 10 species
AAUAAAAGCAAGCAGCUCCAACUGUUCGAGACUGCUCACUCUUCAGCCAUUAGGGCAGUCCCUGGCUGCUCUUAGACUGCAUACCUGUGUCUGAGUACUCCUUUCAUCCGUCGCUUGGCCAGGGUCUGCAGGAUGGACCCGGCAGCUGGUGCCCUGUGUGAGGAACGCUGCAACGGACUGCGACAGAACCCUCGAAAACGAAGGUGAAGAGACUGUGCAGUCAUGUGACAGACACAUCAAACCAUACCAUGGCGUGGCUAAGACCCAAGCUGGUAUCAAAAAUAAAGGAAACGACGCUGCAGGACCCGCAGCCCCAGACGAUGUGGCUUCCUCCGAUGACACAGGCCCCAGACAUUACCUGGGGGAAGCUGAAGAAGACAACUCAGGAGGCCGAGUGAAUCCUUCUCUGGACACAGACACCAUCACUCCAGAUAAUCUGUUCCUUGCUAUGCUCUCUAUUGUACCUUGCAACUCUCAUAGGGUAUUCACCUUUCUUAUUCUCUCACUUUGCCUGCAACUCAUACCUGCUACAUUCUAUUGGGCCCAUCUUCUAAGAUCUGCCUUUCUUCCAACCUGUUACCUUGGCAGACACCCCCUUCCCAUCCUCUAAUAAUGUAACUGCUUAGCUGGGAGGGGUUGACAUGCCCCCAGUGGGGUUCCUUAAUAAUGGCACACAUUGAACUGAGGUGCCAAGUAACACUACAUAUCUCUCCUUGAUUGGAAAAGAAUAAUAGUGACUAUACUAAUGUUUGACUUAUGUUAUUUACUAAUUCUAGGAUGCAAAGCCGGAACACGAGCUGUAACCGCUGCGCCUGUCAAAUCUGUCACUGCACACAUCUGUACUAUUCAAUCAACAAAACCCGAUGCUAAAAACAGAAAAGGGGGAGACGCGGGAGAUCGGUCAGAGUGGUAGGAGAAGGUAUAGGGAAAGGAACAGACCUUCUGAAAGGCGGGAAGGCUCUGGAUAGCUUCAGGGAUGAAUAAGCUGAAGGCAGCUGUUCUCUUACCCUGAGGCAGAGGGCAAGGGGUAGGUAAGGAAGUAUAGGGGAAUUUGGCAUAAACAGGCUUGUUUACUUACAUUGUCCGGAAACCGACUUUGAUCAUCAGGGCAGGAGACUGCUCCCUGAAAGGGGGAAUAAUAAUGUUAAUUACCCACAGAUUGUGUUGGCUCCAGGCUUUCAUUAUUUUGUCUGUACUGAAUAAAAGCAAGCAGCUCCAGCUGUUCGAGACUGCUCACUCUUCAGCCAUUAGUGCUGGGCAUUCCUG